GUCAGCUUAGUCAAAUAAUUGAGAAUAUUUUUUCAACAGGUUAUUUUAGUUUAGAACAACACGAUAAUGAAAUCCAACAUGAAACUUAUAUAUGAAUCGCUGGGAUUGUUUCUGUUUUAUUUGUGUUCUUCGUGUGGAUUUCGAGCACAUGUAUCGGUUUGCACGACGGAUUUUUACGCCUUAUUAGCUGCAACCUCGGUCGUAUCUUCGAUUCUUGGAGUUUUUGUUGUAUUGAUUGUGUUGUACAAGAGAAGAAUACAUCGCCAUUGGACAAACAUGUCGCGAAUAGAAUGUUGCUUUAACCAAAGCGACUUCAACAAUCAGAUUUGGUCAAUACAAUUUAUGUUAAGAAGUUUCUGCGUCCGGUGUUGUACAAACCUUUGUUUUUUUAAAUGAUUUGUCGAUACAUUUUAAUUACAUGUAAAGUAAAACUAACAGUAAAAAUAAAGAUGUUUUGAUUUGGUAACAUUUGUAUUAAAAACAAGGGACUAAACACAAAUGCGAAAUCUUUGCGAGUAAAAGAACAAAACACAAACUAAAAAUUGAAUGCAGACAAACAUACUGAAACUACUACUGAUAGUUCAAAUAGCUUGUUAUGGGGUUGGUCAUGACCAAUCUAAACAAUACCAGUCUAAACAUUACAUCAGUCAUUGAUGAAGCAGGUUUAUUAAGCAUCGGCGGGUCAGGUUAUGCCUAACUCAAACUUCUCUUCAAGGGCUAAAUGAUUAGCUGUACUUGGACACUUAUCAGCGAUUGUUACUACAUUAUUACAUACUGUUAAUGGAUAUUAGCGACUGAUCUAAUACAUGUAUGCAUGCGUGUGAUAUGUUAUAUAAUUGAUAAUAUAAUGCUGUGUUAACCAAGCAUUCGUAAAUACAUAAACAUUACUUUCCACUUUAAUAUAUUCAAGUAUGUCUCAAAAUAUUUUUAUCCACUGGAUAAAUAAACUUCGAACAAUCAGUAAAACUCAUACUAAUUAACAAAUGUAUUGUCGAUUGUAUUCGGCAUUCAAAGUAUGAUUAUUACUGGCACCAGACAUAUGCUAUGAUAAGCUAUGAAUAAGUAUGCAUGUCAUAAUACUAUUUCUUAUGUAUCAUAUUAUUGCACAUAAAUAAUAGUAUACAUUGAAUAAUAUUUCAAAAUCUAUACUUUAUGUCAACUCAUACGAUAUUUAUCAAUGCCAUUU